rnacentral:rRNA from 1 species
GAUGAACGCUGGCGGCGUGCCUAAUACAUGCAAGUCGAGCGAACGGACGAGAAGCUUGCUUCUCUGAUGUUAGCGGCGGACGGGUGAGUAACACGUGGAUAACCUACCUAUAAGACUAGGAUAACUUCGGGAAACCGGAGCUAAUACCGGAUGGUAUUUUGAACCGCAUGGUUCAAAAGUGAAAGACGGUCUUGCUGUCACUUAUAGAUGGAUCCGCGCUGCAUUAGCUAGUUGGUAAGGUAACGGCUUACCAAGGCAACGAUGCAUAGCCGACCUGAGAGGGUGAUCGGCCACACUGGAACUGAGACACGGUCCAGACUCCUACGGGAGGCAGCAGUAGGGAAUCUUCCGCAAUGGGCGAAAGCCUGACGGAGCAACGCCGCGUGAGUGAUGAAGGUCUUCGGAUCGUAAAACUCUGUUAUUAGGGAAGAACAUAUGUGUAAGUAACUGUGCACAUCUUGACGGUACCUAAUCAGAAAGCCACGGCUAACUACGUG